CCUUUAGUUUCCUUCCCGCUCAGCACAGUUCUCCUCUGCUUGUUCAGAGCCAGAGCCAAUGGAGGCGGAGACUGGGAAUCAGCAUAGUCUCCGUGCAGUGCACAGAGGCACUGUCUGGAGGUGCCGACCUUGAGAACAGAACUUUGUCCCUCUUGGGUCCCUGUAAUGCAGGGCACACCUGGGACCUAUUUGGGACUUUGCAGGGACAGCUGCCGGUACCUGACAGGCCCGGAGCCUCCGGAUCAUCUGCAGGCCCAUUUGGAUGGCCCUGUUGGGGAGAGGCAGGAGGUGCAGCUGGAGGAGGUAGAGGAAGGACAGACAGCUCGUCUGCACGGAAGGAGGCAGCGCGGAUGUUUGCAGCGACAGAUGGCAGCAUCCGGCAGAGCCCUGGAAGCCGGGUGAGGAGAGGAGGGGAGGCCGGCCAGACUCCUCUGCAGCUCUCAGGCCUCCCGCACAAGCUCAGCCUGCCUGGCACACACGUGGAGAUUCUCCCCUCCCUGUGUGGCGCUAAGGCACCUUGGUGAGCUCCUCAUGGUCCACAUGGGCUGCGAGUGUGUGGGAUGGCCUGGGGCGACUGGAGAAGUCUGUUCACCUGGCCCUUUGGGAGCCAAGUGGAGGAGGCUCCAGAUCAGCCCCAGAAACCCUGUUCGCUGUUCUCAGUGAGGGCGUCUGCCACGAGACUGGGGCCAGAGGGGCCAUGUAGGGAUGAGGAGUGGCGGUGACUGGGAGGUGAGGAUGGCCAGAAAGUGCUAGUCUCCCAUCAUCCCUCUGUCUUGGUGAACUCCGCUGUAUCUUAGAAUCCUGCUUGACCCGGCUCUUCAGGAAGCUGCCCUGGCAGGCCGGGCUGAGCCUGAAGAUGCCUGGCCUGGCUCUGUGGCCUCUGUGAGCCCCGGCCCCUCCUGGCCUCAGUUCUAGCUGGAGGAAACAGGACUCCCUCCUCAUCCUGGGAAGGCGGUCUCUUCCUCUCAGCGGGACUUUGAAGAGGCCGUGAAGAACCCACAGGGCCCUGCAGCAGUGGAACCAGACACCCAGAUUCACCACCCUGGAGUCGUUCCCAGCCUAGCACAGAGCCUGGGAAACAGAUGGAGAAAGCGUAGGGUGGGAGGGCCCAACAUCCUGGGCGGCUGGGGAAAUGACAGCAGCCGGGAUCCCAGCACUUAGCAUGGGUCAGUUAACAAUGCAUCCGGCCCCACCCAGCCUGUGAGGAGCCCCUUCUGUUCCUCACGCUCACACACCUGAAACUGACUCUCUGCUGGGCUCACUUGUCCACACUGCUGCUACUACCACCGCCACAGGGCCAGGAUUAGACCCCAGACAACCUGGACCGGAAGUCCACACUCCCAUCCACGGAACUACAAAACAAAAUGAAAACCAUCUCUCCCUCUGGCAGGGAUGACGGAUAAUAGGUUUGAUGCCAUCAAGUGCUGCUGAGGUCACCUCACCACCACCACCACCACGGGGAGCCCACGUCUGAUUACCUAGGGAGCCCCAAGAGUUCGGGUCAGAGUGGAGCGAACAGCUCUUUCAUCUCAUCUGCGUUUAGGUUGCCAUGCAGGAAAGAGUCGUGCAUUGCUUUGGUUUGUAACUCAUUUAAAAGGAGAAUGGGGGCAGUGAUACAGGGACAGCAUGUGCGAGGCCCGAGUUGCAUCCUUAGCCCAUCCCCCAAACAGAUGGGGGAGUAUGUUGGGGAAAGGGAAUCAAAGAUGGACAGAAUGGAAGGCUCUCAGACAGUUGUCCCUGACCGUGACCUCCUGCAGGCUUUGUCUGGGCGAGGCCUGUUCUUUUAUUGGGCACAUAUGUAUUUUCUGGGGGCCCCUAGGUCCUCGGCUCUGUGCCGGGCUGUGUGCUCUCCCCAGGCACACCCAGGGUGUGUCCCGACAGAGGGGCUCCCCUUCUGUCCCUGUCUGGGCGCUCUGUGGUAACAAGGUCAGGGCUGCAGGGAGGAGCCAGUUCUGGCCAGAGCUCUGAUCUGUGACGGGCUGUUCCCCGGAGCAGCUGCUACAACAACAUUUACUUUGUACAGUGGCCAAGAGAGAGAGCAAGAAAAGGAAGAGAGAGAGAGAGAGAGAGAGAGAGAGAGAGAGAGAGAGAGACAGAGGGAGAGAGCACACAAGCCUACUCUAUUGCAAAAUGUUUCUGACAAAAUCUGGCACUCCUGGUUCUAAUCAAAAUACUGAACUUUGGAACAAAUUAACAUUCCACAGCCCUCACUGGGAAGGAGAAUUCAGCCGAGACGACUUCAGUUCACAACAACAAAAAUAGCUUCUCCCGGGGAAGACACAUUCUGCUAACAAGGUCACUUGUGUUUUGCUUCCCCUGCCAUCUGGCUGAGCGGCAACCAGGGGCUGGCACUGGUACCAGCGUCUUGUGUGGAGAGGGGCUGGGAACCGGGUGGUGCCGCUGAAGGCUUCUCAGCCUCCUGGCAAAGGGUGUAGGCGUGGAGUUACCUUCAGACAGUCCCAGAACUGGGGCAGAUGGAGCCCAGUCUCACCCAGCCGGGCUCAGCUUCGAGCUCCGAGCAGCAGGAGGUGUGACACCAGCACACAGCAACAAGCAGAUCUGGAGGCCAGAAGUGUGAAAUCAAGAUGUUGUCAGGGCUCUGUUCCUUCUGAGACCUUCUGAGACCUUCUUUGCCUCCUCCCAUUUUCUGGUGGGUUCUGACAGUCCUUGGCAUUCUUGGCUAGCAGCUGCAGUACUACAAUUUUUACCUUCAUCUUCAUGUGGAAUUCUCCCUGUGUGUAUCUGUGUUUUUUCUCCUUUUCUUAUAGGCACACCAGUCAUAUUGGAUUAAAGGCCCAAGACUCCAUUCUGACCUCAUCUUGGCUAAUUGCAUCUCCAUGACCCUAUUUCCAAAUAAGGUCACAAUCUCAGGUACUGUGAAUUGGGACUUCAGCAUCUUUUUGCAGGGUUGGUGAGGGACAUACAAUUCAAUCCACAGGCAACAAAGGAAGCCUUAGCUCUUUCUUUGUCUGAAUUUUUUCCCUCUCAUUUUGUUCUCUUAAAGAAUCAUGGCAGGGCCCAGUUCAAAGUUCACCUUCUUGGUUAUUUUUCCUGAAUAACCCAGGAGAAAUGAGUCACUUCUUUGCCUAUCUUUAUAGCCUUUUUGCAUUUCUAUUAAAGAAUCUAUCACAUUGUGUGUAACCUGAGGGCAGAAGCCACCUUAUUCACCUGGGAAUAGAGCUCAGAGUUCCUGAAUCCCAUUUAGAUCUGCUCUAUGGAGUUGAUGUUCCCUAUGGGGAUAUUCCAGUCACAUGUUCAAAACAAAACAAAACAAAAAACUGUGAGUCUGUAGAUAAAUGAAAACAAUGGGGACUCUGUAUUAUUUAGUUUUCUAUUUUAGGCAUUUUAUCACUAAGAACUACUUUGCAUAAACAGGGUUGUAUCUAAAUGUCUUCCUAUGUGAAGUUCCCAUUUUUGAUUGGCUAUAAUAUUUCAACAUGUAAAAAUAGUGUUUUAAUGUAAAUGCAGUAUAAUUGGGUUUCCCAACCUUGCACUGUUGAUAUUCUAGGCUGGAUUAUUCUUUAGCAGGGGGCUGUCUUGUGUUUUGCAGGAUGUGGAGCAGCACCCCAACCUUUAUCAAACAGAUGCUUCUAGCAUUGCUUAAUUCAGUUGCGACAACCAAAAAAUGUUAGUGUCUCCUGGUGUGUGUGUGUGGCAAAAUUACCCCUAGUUGAGAAGAAUGAGAAUAUUCAUUUAGGGGUUGGAAAUCUUAAAGUUGUAAAAAUCAUCCAAAUUUCUCUUUAUCUUGCUUUCUGUUAAAUACUUUCCUGUGUUGUAAGGCUGCUCUGCUCUGAGACCACUGGCACCGUGAGCAGAUGGCAUGACUUGGCUGUCCCCUGCUCCUGCCUCCGUGCACCUGGGACCUGUGGGUGGCCUCGUUUGCAUGGAGGAAAAAGAUAAUAUCCCUAUUUAUUACAAAGACUCAGGCAUUUGAAGGACCCAACCAAUGGUGUGACAUGUGUGGGCACAUGAACUUCACCUUGGAUGCCCCAGAAGUUUCUAGAGCUGACUUCCUUUAACUAGAAGGAAUAUGACUGUGGUCUUAGAAGAAAGACAUUACCUGGAGGAAGUUGAAAGCCAGCAUGCAGAGAAGGAAGACUACGGAAGGGCUCAGGCAGCUACACAGCUCUGCAGAACAAAAUGUUCUUGUCCAGGCCAUGGGGCCACAGGCUGGGACAGAGGGGAGGAACAAUGAUGUCAUGGAAUGAGAAGGAGUUGGGAACACUAUUGGAAUGAAUGUUCCAUUGAUUACACGAGUUGCUGACAAGCAACAGCAGAAAUGGAGCUGGGUGAUCAGUCUCAAAUUCUCCCCCUGACAUUUGCAAGAAAAGUGGUGAACACAUCCCAGACACCCACUUCCUACCCCCGUUAUGUGUAUGAGACGCUGGAAGCAGCAAGGACUCGGAUUCUCCCCUUGAGCCACCAGGAGGAACACAGCCUGCAGCUGCAUCCAGACUUCUGACCUCCAGAACUGCAAGCAAAUAAAAGUAUGUGAUUUGGGGCCACCCCGUUUGUGCUCAUUCACUGCUGCCGCAGCCAGAGAAAACCAACACAGAUUUCCACGUUGAGUCUGGGUUUUCCUUUGAGGCUGUGGCUUUUCCUACUGUGAUCGUAGCUCACAGCUGCUGAGUGGGGACAAUGUGUACCAGAUGCUGAGUAGACAUCAUCUCAGUUCUCCCAGUAACCCUGUGGGCCGGGCACUGGCAUUACCCUUAUUCAGGAGAUGGAGGACUAGGCUUGCAACAGUCUGCUGUAACCAGAGGCGGUUUUGAGCCCCAGGGACACUGAGCAAUGCCUGUAGACAUUCAGAUAGUCACAACCAGGUUUGGGGUGCUCCUGGCAUCUAGUGCAGGAGAAGCCAGGGAUGAAUGACAUGUGUGUGUACACAUGUGCAUAUGGGGUGUGUAUGGGGUUGGUGUGUGGCGUGUGUGUGUGUGUCUGUGUGGUGGGGGCCAGGUUAGGGAGAACAGGGGACCUGGCCUCUGCCUCACUUUCCAUCAUGAUCUGCUCCACUGUCCCCCCAAACUGCCUACAUCAGCAAGAGAUGAGAGAGUUACCAGUGUCAUCCCCCUAAAAUUCUACUUUUUCUCACAUUGAUGUCCCCUAUUUCCUGCCCACUAUUAUUGACUGGCACCUCCUCUCUGUUCUCUUCAUGCCUCCCUCCAUCACUGCCUCAGAGCAUACUUUUCUGAUUGGAUGAGGCCCCUGCCGCCAGCUCCGGUACCGAUACAGGUCUCAGCACCAAUGUACACUGGAAAGUGGAAAGUCUGCCCCACCUGAGCAGUGGCUGAGCAGCUUGCUGUUUGCAAAGUGUCACUGCCGGAAAGAAGUGGAUGGCAAGAUGCAUCCUCUACGGGGAUCAUGACCUGACGUGGCCCUCUCGCCUGGUCACCUGGUUAGGCCAAGUCACCAGACAGUCCCUGUGUUCUCACCUGCAAAUUGGGAGUCACUUACUUGAAAUUAAGUAAGAGAUGGAGGAAUCUGUUCCUCCCUCAGAGAUGCAUGAGGUAUUGUGCCACACUGGCUCCUGGCUUCUGGUGACACUGACAUUUCUGGGAUUGUGGCUGCCUUCCUCCCAUCUCUCCCUCUCUUUGUGUGGCCUUCUCUCUCCCAUGUGUCCGAGGGUCAAAUCUCCCUCUGAUUCUCUCUUAUAAAUACUGAUGCUGUUAGGCCCUGCUGGGGUAACCCAAGAUGAUCCUGUCUCAAGAUCCUUAACUCAACUUUUGCCAUUUAAGGGAACAUUCACUCAUAGAACCCUGAAAUUAGGCAACAGAUAUCUUUGGAGGAUCAUUAUUUCAGCCUAGCACAAGGAGGUAGGUACUUUACACAUCUUUACAUUUCAUAUCAAGCCUAAGAAUAGCUAUUAGUUUUGCUGUUUCACAGAUGAGGAAAUUGAGGCUUGGAGACAUUUACUAUGGAAUUUCAGAAAGUUCAUUCCGUUUCUGAGACACCUUGCCAUUUUCAUCUAUAAAAUGAGAAUCGUGCCCUUCCUGACCUAGGCCAGAUGAAAGUAGAGAAUUUUUAUACAAAUUCUUAGCAAAGUAUUAUGCAUUACAGAGAUGCAAGGGGUUAUUUUUUGCCUUGAGUGGAUUUUCUAGAAAGUCUUCACGUGGGAGAGGAGAGAUGACUUGGCUGAGGAUUGUGAGUGAAAUGCCAAAAUAUUUCUAGAAAUCAUCAGUGUCUUAGAGUGCUGAGUCUUCAUUACAAUAGCAAGUGAAAUUCUGAUGUAGAUGCACUUUAAAACAUUCCCUGUUUGAGGAAUCAUGCCUGGAAGCCACUUCCCAAAGAGAGGCAGCAAGAAAUGCUGAAUUCUUUCAAGUUGAAAGUGGGAGAGAUGGCACAUUUUAUUCUUUAGAAUGCUCCUUCUUCGGCUCAUCCUUCUAGGCAUUCUUAACAGGUAUGUUUGAGUUUGAUUGCAUUUGCACCAGGUGCUGUUCACGUCUGUUAACUCUCUGCAGUUUCUGUCAUCUUGGUAAUAGAGAAAGGAUGGUAGGAGCAGCAAGUGAGUGAGAGGUUGCAUAGGUAAGCAGGAAAUUGACUCCAGGAAGAGAAUGGCAGGCACGACAAAGAACAUUUAGGAGGAAGCUAGACGUCUUUAUCAAAAUUGAUUUUUGACUGGACAGGCCUCUGCUCUGCAUACAUGCUAUAUUUAUACAUCUAGAUCAGAUGUGGAAAACAUGGCCACUCAGGACAGAGCCCGGCCAGCACCACAGCAGACAUCACUAAUCAAUCACAGUGACCCAGCUCUCCAGGCACCCACUGCCAGUCAAUGAGCUCUAUCUAUUGCCUAGUACUAUUGUGCUAGUAGAUAAGCCUAGGACAUAAAUUUCACUGCAUUAAUUAACUUACUUAAUUCAAAAGACUUUUUCACCUGCCGUUGUACCCAAUCUUAAGCUGCUUUUUUACUAUUUUAGUGACGCCUGGUGUGUUUGCAACCCAAUAAUACCAGCUACCAAUUGCUUGCUGUGCACCAAGCUCUGUGGAUUGAAUUCUCACAAAUCAUAGUGUUUUAGUUGACUGAACUUCAUUUGAAUAAGUGGAUUUCGGGGAAUAUGUCUGCUGAGAUACUAAACCUUGAUUGCACUGCAGUGCUGGGAUGGAACCGAGGGCCUCGUGCACAAUGGACAAGUGCUUGACCACGGAGCUCCACCUCAGUCCUUUACUGAGCCUUAGACUUUAUCUUCAUGUGCUCUCUAGACAACUCCUGUGUUAACAUUUGAGGCUUGUAUAGGCCAAGCAUCCCUAAUCUGGAAAUCAAAAGUGCUCCAAAAUCCAAAACUUUCUGAGCACUGACAUGCUGCCAUAGUGGAAGUUCAGUUCCUUGUGGCUACGGAACAGAGACCCUGUGUCGUUGCUGGCUGCUCCCCGCUCCGGGCGGCUGCCCACACUCCUUGUCACACAGUUCCUUCUGCCUUCCAGCCAGCGAUGGCACAUGGGCUCCUCGUUCUCAGAAGCUCUGACUUUUCUGUUGCUGACUUUAGAAGCCUUCAAGGGUGGUCCUGCCAAUCCCUGCCACAGCAGCAGCCGUGUUAGUGUGGUUGUAUGUACAGCCCGGGGCAGGAACUCUCACAGGCAGGCUUAGAAUUCUGCCUCCCGCAAGGCUUUUGACCUAAGUGUUAGACCAGGUCUUUUGCUGACCCUGACUUCAAAAUGUUUGAAUGCACAGUUGUGCAAGGAGUUCCCAUAUUGUGGCUGACAUUGAAGAAGAGUUGUUUAAGGUGCGACAUUCUGCAGAUCUAUGGGUACUGCCUACACUGCCUCGUGCUGUUGAUUACUGCAUUGAUGGCUUCAGAAGCUCUCCACGUGUUGAUCAAGACCUUGUUGAACCUUGACAGAGUGAUAAAUUGCAUGCUUGUUUCCCCUCAUGAUUUCGUGGCUCUUUUGAAAGACUACCCCCUUGAUGUGCCCAGGAAAAUUUCCUUUGAUGUGCUAAGUCUGGACAGUUGAGCUUUUAAGGAAUCUAAAGCAGAGAAAAUGAGUACCUGCCCAUCCUGAGGCAGGCUGGCCUCUGUGUUUUCUGCUUGUGGUGAACCUGGGCUGCAAAAAUGGUUUUUAUUCUCAGCCAUCUGGUUCCUCUCACCUGUCAAAUAGCCCAGCUCUCAGAUUCUGACACAAGAAUAAAUUGCCCCCUUGUUAUGUUAAGUAAAAGAAACUAAAGUGUGAAGGAAAACGCCUUUGAAAGAGAGGCCAAGGAAGGAGUUCCUAUUGCCAAGAUUGGUCAAAAGUGGCUGGAAAUCUCUCUCUUUCAAUGCAGCGGGUUUUGACUGGUAUAAAACAGCAUUUUCCAGCAUGUGUCUCUGGGAAACCAGUUUUAUCUGAUGAGUAAUGGGUGUGAGGAGGAAAAGAUUCUCCCGUCACACAGGUUCACCAUGCUACCUCCGUAUCAAUCUCCUGAGGUGAAAUACGAUUGGCUGUGAUCUACAAACCCAUGUAGGGGCUGAUGCUCCUCUGGUUUCCUGUGAAAGAAAUAUUUACAAGAUAAGGGAUCCAAGGAGCACACUUCAGGAAGGGCAGCGUUGAAGGAUAGCUAUGACUUUGAGAAAGUAGGCAUGGGCAGUUGGCGAAUCUGUGUCGCCAAUCCACAGAUGAACCCGUCUCCACAUUUGAGGAGGAACAGAGUCGGAUUGUAGAUGCACACUUGGUGUGUCUUAAAUAUUUCUCAGUAAAAUUAUUUCUUACACUCUUUAUUGACUAUUGAUAUCAUUCUCAGUUUGAGGGUCCCCAAAGUAACCUCAGAGCCUUCAGUAAUAAUUUUCUAUCUAGAGAAUGGUGAAGAGAAUGAAAUGAAUAUUUUGAUUAUGACAUGGGUGCUUUUGGUAUCUUUAUCCUAUUUAAAUUUUGCAAUAACCCUG
ensembl:lncRNA